GUCCCACCUGACCCCAUGCCGAACUCAGAAGUGAAACGCUGUAGCGCCGAUGGUAGUGUGGGGUCUCCCCAUGCGAGAGUAGGGAACUGCCAGGC
rnacentral:rRNA from 3 species